rnacentral:lncRNA from 1 species
ACGACUGGGGGAAAUUUCAAUUGACCGUUCAUCAGAGUAAUUUUUGCUUCAUCUACCAACAGGCUGGAACUGGAAGGGAAGUUGAAAAGGGCCCAUGCAUCUGUGGAUGAGGGGAUCACAGCCUGUGGCAGAGCACCUCAGCUUCCCUCGCUCUUGGAUGUGUUCAUCACACUGAACCCACAGCCCCGUGUGGGAUGCAGACUAAUGCCCACUGCAUAUGUACCAACGAAGUUAUAGACACCAAGAGAGGAGAGAGUCACGGCUGGAAUGAUGUAUCUGCCCUGAGAGUGAAUGAUGGAUUUAAUGAACAAUAGAUGUCCAUCCCAAGCAAUACUGCAAGUUGGAUUUUCCUACAGAGAACAGUGAUUUGUAAUUACUUACCAGGGAAACUGCAGAUAUUGAUGUCUCAACUCAGCAGGCUG